UCACAUCAAGAGAAGACCUACCGGCGGUGACGAUCUUGUGCAUCUAUGUGCAAGAGCUGCGAUAGUGCAAGCGGCGGAGAUGUGGUGUUGCAACAAGAGCAGCAACGGUGGUUGGAAGGCCUUGGCGACAUAGAUCUGAGAUGAACAAAUAAUGAUAGAGAUGCAGAUCUGAGGUGGAUUGGAUGGAAACGAAGUCUAAGGAGUAGGAUGAUGGAAGGAGGCUAUCCGCAAUGGUUACGGUGGUGGUGAUGGUGGUCGGCGAUGGCAAUGGUUAUGCGAGUUAACCCAGGCCAGUAGCGAAAUCAAUAUUUCGUUGAUGAAGAAAAGAGAGAGCGAGAAAGCGAAGAGAAACAAGGGAUGGAGAGAGUUUGGGGAAGCUCGCAGGUGAAAGAGGAAGGCGAGACGCGUUGUGUGAAAGUGAGAAUAAGAGUGAGUGAGGGUCG